rnacentral:rRNA from 1 species
CCAAUAGCGUAUAUUAAAGUUGUUGCAGUUAAAAAGCUCGUAGUUGAAUUUCGGGGUUCGUACGUUGGUCGGGCUUUUUGGUCUGUACUAGCGUAAUGGAUUCCUACCUUCUGAAUAACCGGCAUGCCAUUAAUUUGGUGCGCCGGGGAAGCAGGACUGUUACCUUGAAAAAAUUAGAGUGCUUAAAGCAGGCUAUCGCCUGAAUACAUUAGCAUGGAAUAAUGAAAUAGGACGGCAUGGUUCUAUUUUGUUGGUUUCUAGGAUCACCGUAAUGAUUAAUAGGGAUAGUUGGGGGCAUUAGUAUUCAAUUGUCAGAGGUGAAAUUCUUGGAUUUAUUGAAGACUAACUUCUGCGAAAGCAUUUGCCAAGGAUGUUUUCAUUAAUCAAGAACGAAAGUUAGGGGAUCGAAGACGAUCAGAUACCGUCGUAGUCUUAACCAUAAACUAUGCCGACUAGGGAUCGGACGAUGUUAAUUUUUUAAUGACUCGUUCGGCGCCUUACG